GGGCGGCGGUCUCCGACUCAAGACCCUGGGGCUCCGGGUCUUCUUAGCAGCCGCCGCAGCAGCCGCGGCGACGUCACUGUCCUCUCGGCCUGGCACACAGCGCUCCGGCCGCCGAAUGCCCGUGGACGCGCAUCUCUUCCCAGAGUUCCUGCUUCCUGGGCCAGCCAAAGCCGCAGGUGAGAACGUCCGCGGUAGAGGUGACACCCAGGGCCUGCGGGUCUCAGAGGCCCGGUGGCCUGCUCCUCUCCUCCUUGCCCAAGAAACCCCCACGGGGGCGCCUGCAGCGGGGACACCAAGUGCUCCCCGGAGCCCUGGGAGCACUUCUUCUGAGGCAUGGAGCCCCUGCUCAGGUGCUUCUGAAAGUUCCUUUGUGGACCCCAGAAACCCCUAGGCAACUGUCUGCCCCGCCCCGCGCCCCCGCCGCCCCCCGCCCCCGCAGUACCCCUCCGGCCCCCGACAUCCCUGAUGCGCAUGCCCAGGGGCCCUGUGAGCUAGAAAGUAGCUGAGCUGGUGCAGUACCUGCUGGUUAAGAACCGGAAGACGGUGGCGAUCAAAAGGGCAGACAUGCUGAAGUAUGUCAUCAAAAGGUACAGGAGCUUCCUCCCUGAGAUUUUCAAGAAAGCCUCUGACCUCCCCGAGUUAGUCUUUGGGUUCUAUCUGAAGGAACUUGAUCCAGCAGAGCACUCCUAUGUCUUGAUCAGAAAAAUCGAUCCUGCCCUGGUUUGGGGCCUGACAGGCGACCAGGGCACACCAAAGACCCGGCUCCUGAUGAUUACUCUGGACUCGAUCUUCAUGCAGGCCAGCUGUGUCCCCGAGGAGGUGGUCUGGGAGGUGUUGAGGGUGUUGGAGGCACAUUUCGUCUAAAAAGCAUUUCGUCUUUGGGGAGUCCAUGAAGCUCAUCACCAAAGCUAGUGUGCAGCAGGAGUAUCUGGUGCACAAAUAGGUGUCCCACAGCAAUCCCACGCUCUAGGUAUUCUUGUGGGGGCUCUCAAAGGAAACAAGACAGAUGGAAGUCCCGGAGUUUGUGGCCAAAGUGAAUGACACCCACCCCAGUUCCUUUCCGUGGCAGUAAAUGAGGCAUUGAGAGAAGAGGAGGAGAUACCCCGUGCCCGAGAUGGCAGCUGCCGUUGGUGACGUGACAAGUGCCAGUGUUAGUGCCAGUUCCAGUUCCAGGGCCUAUGCCAUGGCUGAAGCAAGCAUCAGCACCAGCACCAAUGCAAGUGCCAGUUGCCAGUGCCAGGGCUAGAGCCAUGGCUGGAGCAAGUAUCAGUACCUGGGACAGUGCCAGUGUGGUUGCAAUCUCAGGCUAGUGUCAGGGACUCCUCCUGCCAGCAGUGAAGGCUGGGGCUGAGUCUUCACUUUGUUUUGCUGUGGGUAGUCAAAAGGGCCCCACAGCAGUGGGUGCUGGGGUCCUGACUUUUCAAGAGUCGAGGGGUAGAGUGGGGUUAGGGAGAACCUGCCGCCCAUGGUAUCUGUGUUCCAGUUCUAUUUGUCUUUCUCAGUGAUUUAGCUUUCAAUUUGCAUACUGCAAAGUUUUGUUUGCCUUAAUUAACUUUCUUUUAUAAUGAUGAUCAUUUUACAGGAAAUAAACUGGUUAAAACUACAUGAUGACAGAAUUAUAUCAGAGUUGAAACAAACGCCAUACCUAAGCAUUUUUUUCAAAAUCCUUUGUUCCAUAGACACUUGAUUGAGUACUUAAGUUGAACAUCUAGGUCUAUGAAUGACGUUGGUCAAAUGUUUUAUUGUUCUCUGUUUCGGUUUUAGCAGGAGAGAUUUGCUGUUUCAUAAAAGAAAUUGGGAGAGUAUAUCAUUUUAUGCCUGUAACUUAUUAUAGCAUUGGAAUAAGCUGUUCUUUGGAGGUUUGAGAGACUUUACCAGUACAAUCAUUCCCCCCCUCCCCCAAAUAUAAAAAGAUAAAAUAAAAAGCCGGUCAGUGUCUGUUGCACAAAAUUACAACCGCUCUCUGCUUGUAUUUGCCUAGUUCUCCAGAAUGUAGGGAAAAAUAAAAAUUCAAUGAAUUAGAAAAAAAAAAAAAAAAAAAAAAAAAAAAAAAAAAAAAAAAAAAAAAAAAAAAAAAAAAAAAAAAAAAAAAAAAA
rnacentral:lncRNA from 1 species